rnacentral:rRNA from 1 species
CAGCAACUUGGAAGAAGGUAUAGCAACAGCUAGUUGUAUAAAUAUAACUGUAACAGGUUUUUUUAUUUUACAAUAUCGAGUUUCUCGAUUAAAAUUCUAGGUAGAUUUAUGAUAAUGACAUUAUCUAUCUAUGUGUCUUGACCAAAAUACGUGCCAGCAGUCGCGGCAAGACGUAGAAGACUAGUGUUAUUCAUCUUUAAUUGGUUUAAAGCGUACCUAGACGGUAAUUAUAGCCUAAAUCAGGUACUUUUUUACUAGAGUUAUAUGUAAGGGUGUAUUAAAGUACUGUUGAGUUUAGAGAUGAAAUUCUUUGAUACCAGAUAAUUGGCACAGGUAAAGGCGAAAGCAUCACUUUAUGUAAUAACUGACGUUGACGGACGAAGGCUAUGUGUAGCAAACAGGAUUAGAGACCCUAGUAGUCUUAGCAGAAAAUUAUGAAUGUCAUAGGUUAGAUUUUAUUUGGUCUAUAAAUGAAAGUGUAAGCAUUCCACCUCAAGAGUAAUUUGGCAACAUUGGAACUGAAAUCAUUAGACCGUAUCUGAAAUCAGUAGUGAAGUAUGUUGUUUAAUUUGAUAAUCCGCAAAAAACCUUACCACAACUUGAAUAUAAUUAUAUUUUUUUACAAGUGUUGCACGGCUGUCUUCAGUUAAUGUCGUGAGAUCUUGGUUUGCUCCAUUUAAUUAACGUAAACCCUUACUCUAUUUUUAUAUAGAGUUUUCCGCCGCUAUAUAUGAUGUGAUA